ACAACAGGUUGAUAUUCCUGUACUACCGAUAACCGUUUGAGAGAAGGGAUGACACAGUAGGAUAAGCUAAGCACACUGUUGGUUAUGUGUGCCCAAGCAUUGAGGCAGUCAAAGUAGGCAAAUCCGCUUUGAUAAUGCUGGGAUGUGAUGGGGAGCGAAAUUUAGUAGCGAAGUAGCUGAUUUCACACUGUCAAGAAAAGUCUCUAUCGAGGUUAAAGGUACCCGUACCGCAAACCGACACAGGUGGGUGAGGAGAGUAUCCUAAGGCCAGCGAGAGAACUGUUGUUAAGGAACUCGGCAAAAUGACCCCGUAACUUAGGGAUAAGGGGUGCCACCAUCAGGUGGCCGCAGAGAAUAGGCCCAAGCGACUGUUUACCAAAAACAUAGGUUUCUGCUAAGUCGCAAGACGAUGUAUAGGAGCUGACGCCUGCCCGGUGCUGGAAGGUUAAGGGGAUCUGUUAGAGCAAUCGAAGCAGUGAACUUAAGCCCCAGUAAACGGCGGCCGUAACUAUAACGGUCCUAAGGUAGCGAAAUUCCUUGUCGGGUAAGUUCCGACCCGCACGAAAGGCGUAACGAUUUGGGCACUGUCUCAACAACAGACUCGGUGAAAUUGUAAUUCCGGUGAAGAUGCCGGAUACCUGCGACAGGACGGAAAGACCCCAUGGAGCUUUACUGUAGCUUGACAUUGGGUCUUGGUACUACAUGUACAGGAUAGGUGGGAGGCUUUGAAACCAGGACGCCAGUUUUGGCGGAGCCAUCCUUGGGAUACCACCCUUGUAGUACUGGGACUCUAACCAUAGGCCAUGAAUCUGGUCUUGGGACACUGUCAGGUGGGCAGUUUGACUGGGGCGGUCGCCUCCCAAAAGGUAACGGAGGCGCUCAAAGGUUCUCUCAGUACGGUCGGAAAUCGUACGUAGAGUGUAAAGGCAAAAGAGAGCUUGAUUGCAAGACAUACAGGUCGAGCAAGGAUGAAAAUCGGACUUAGUGAUCCGGUGGUUCUGCGUGGAAGGGCCAUCGCUCAACGGAUAAAAGCUACCCUGGGGAUAACAGGCUUAUCUCCCCCAAGAGUCCACAUCGACGGGGAGGUUUGGCACCUCGAUGUCGGCUCAUCACAUCCUGGGGCUGUAGUAGGUCCCAAGGGUUGGGCUGUUCGCCCAUUAAAGUGGUACGCGAGCUGGGUUCAGAACGUCGUGAGACAGUUCGGUCCCUAUCCGUCGCAGGCGUAGGAAAUUUGAGAAGACCUGUCCUUAGUACGAGAGGACCGGGAUGGACG
rnacentral:rRNA from 1 species